rnacentral:lncRNA from 10 species
GACAAACUUGAUUUAAAUCACCAUAAAAUUAUCUUAUAGGUCUUUAGGUCCAAAGUCUGAUAUGGGUCUCCCUGGCGUAAAAAUAAGGUGUCCACAGGGCUGUAUUCACCUCUGAAGGCUCUAGCCGUGGAUCUAUUCCCUCCCUUUUCAGGUUGUUGACGGAAUUCAGUUUCUUGCACAUAGCCUCCUAUAUCUCAGAGUCACAACAGUGUGGUGGAGUUUUAUAAUGUAGUCACUUUCUCUGACCACAGAGUAUCUGCUUAUAAGAGCUCAUAUGAUUAGUUUAGGCCUGCCAGGAUAAUCCCAGAUAAUCCUCCCUCUUCAAGGUCUGCAACCUUAUUCACAUCUACAAAAUCCCUUUUGCUGUGUGAAAUAAUGUAUUUGCAGGUUCCGGUUCUGCCUAUCAUAUAUGCCAAAACAAAAAGUUGAAUAUUCUUGUUACAAAAUGUAAGCAAAUAAUGUUCUGACCUUAAGGAAUAAAAAACAUUCUUAAACAAAACUCAGAAAGAGUUCAUCUAAAAGAAAAGAUUGAUCUACUUGCCUAUGCUGAAAUUAAGGAGAUCGUAAUAAACUAAGGACUAAGUCCUAAGAAACGUAUGCAGAAAUGUUUAAUAUUGUUACUGAUAGUGUAAGAUUUAACUAAGACCACAAUAUCAGUUGAUACUCAUUUUACUGGUAAAAAUUUAAAAGUGUGACAAUGACAAGUAUUAGAGAAGAUGUGAACCAUCAGAUUCUCUUAUAAAUUGCUAGUGAAAGAUAAAUUAUAGCAACCAUUUUUUAAAAACAGCAUAAUAUUAUUUCCUGCUAUGCUUUGAAUAUAAAAAAAAAAUCUCCUCCAGAAUUCAGGUGUUGGAACUUAAUGGCCAAUAUAAUGAUAUUGACAGAUGGGACUUUUAAGAGGUGAUUAGAUCAUGAGGGCUCCUCCCUUCAUGAUUGGGACUAAGGCCCUUAUAAAAGAGGCUUCAAGCACCAUUUGCUGAUCUUUCCCUUCUGCCUUUUGCCAUGUGGGGACACAGCUUUUCUUCCCUCUGGAGCAUGCAGCAACAAGGCACCAUCUUGGAAGCAGAAAGUGACCCUCUCCAGACAACAGAACCUACCAGCACCUUGAUGUUGGAUUUCCCAGCCUUCAGAACUGUGGGAAAAUACAUUUCUCCUCUUCAUAAAUUACUCAGCCUUAGGUAUUUUGCUAUAACUGCACAAUAAACUAAGAUAUUUCCUAAAGCUGAGUGUUUCUAUACCAUAAAAUCCACUGAUUCUAGUCCCACUCUUGUAUAUACACACCAAAAAAUGCAUACAAGAAUGUUCACAGAAGCCCUGUUUACAACAGCAAAAGGAAACAAUCCAAAUAUCUAUAAGGCAGAUCACAUCUGCAUUAUAUUCAUAUAGUAGAAUAUUAUGCAGUGCCUAAGCUGUCUAAAACAAUGACACAUAACAAUGUGGAUACAUCUUAACAGUGUAAUGCUGAGUGGAAAAACUAAGUCCCAAAAAAAGUGUGUGUGUGUGUGUGUGUGUGUGUGUGUGUGUGUGUGUGUGUUUGUGAAUGGGAUUAUAUAGCUGCAAUGAAACUAAAGGGAAAAAAAGUGUUUUAGGUUACUUGUAGAAUGGUGGAUGCUAUAGUUUGAAUGUUUGUCUGUCCCCUCCUAAAUUCAUUUUGAAAUUUAAUUACUAUUGUAACAGAAUUAAAAGGUGGGGGCUUUAAGAGGUGAUUAGGCCAUGAGGGCUCUGCUUGCAUAAGUGGAUUCAUUUAGUUCUUGCAGGAGUGAGUUCAUUACAAAGGGACAAGUUUGGUCCCCUUUUUUCUAUCUCUCUUGCCCUCUCUUUGCUCAUCUGCCACAAGGUGAUGCAGCAAGAAGGCCCUUGCCAGAUGUCAGCCCCUUGAUCUUGGACUUCCCAGACUCCAGAACUGUGAGCCAAAUAAAUUUCUGUUUAUUAUAAAUUAUCCAGUCUGUGGUAUUUAGCAUAAAAUAGACUAAGACAGUAGAUCUCUAAAUCUCAUUAUUAAAUUAUAUUACAUUGAAUUGUAAAAUAUAAAUGCAGAAAGGGGUAUUAAUGGACAAAUGAUUAGAUUAGAUUGUGUUAUAAACCAAAGAUUAUAGUUAUUCCAAUUAUGUGCAUUUGAGAUCCACUUAAAAUUCAUUCCUCAUUGCUCAUUUUUAAAAAUAUCGGGACAUCCUUCCUUCUCUAUCUUAUUUUCAUUACCCUGAUUAUACAUAUUUAGUUGUUUCAAGUCCCAAAGUAGACUUGUUUUUUUCAUUUAGUGAUAUGACUGGCUAUAUAAAUAGUCCAUAGUAAAUAAUGCCUCAAAGAAAACUUUUAUCAUCAAAGAUUUUUCUUAUGAACCAGUUUUAAUGCUUAUUACAAUAUCUAAUUAUAUCAAAUAGACAUGGCCUUCAUGGAAACUAUACUACUUUGCUGGUGCCUUUCAGUCAAUAAUUUCUUAGUCAAUUUUUAAGUGUUAAUAUUGUUUAAAAAUGCAGCAGUCCAUAGCAAUCUUUCAGAAGUCAUCGUAUUUCAGAGCAACUAAUACCAGAGAGUCCACCCAAACGUAUGUAUUUGUCAUCUGAGCAAGAACCUAAACAAGCAACAAUAAUACAUGGAAAUUCCUGACCUGAGUAGCCCAGGUGAUCUCACAUACCUAACCUUGUCUCUUAGACAAACACACUUUCUCCAAGAAAGAAUCUUUUAAAACCUGUCUCCUCCAAGAAGUUUACACUCAGUUAAUAUACAAAUUGAUGAGCCUAUGUGUGUGUGUGUUUGCAUAUAUGCAUACAUAUAUUUGUGCGUCCCUCACAUUCUCACUUUUAGCAAGACUUUUGUGGUCUAAAUAUUUUAGUUUAAAGAAACAUAAAAUGAUAUGAGAGUACAAGGAAA